GGUGUGAGCCACUGCACCUGGCUAUCUCCACUUCGGACAGGAGAAAACUGAGGCCCAGGGAGGGAAAGUCACUUCUCCAAGGCCACAAAGCUGCAGCCGCCGACGACGCCGCUGGGAAGGGUCCGGAAUCAGGAUCAGGAACCACCGGGUAGCUGCAAAGGUCAAAGGAUGGAGUGCAGUGGCCCGAUCUCGCUUCACUGCAACCUCC
rnacentral:lncRNA from 1 species